UACGUAGGGCGCAAGCGUUGUCCGGAAUUAUUGGGCGUAAAGAGCUCGUAGGCGAUUUGUCGCGUCUGCUGUGAAAAACCUAGGCUCAACCUUGGGCUUGCAGUGGGUACGGGCAGACUAGAGUGCGGUAGGGGUGACUGGAAUUCCUGGUGUAGCGGUGGAAUGCGCAGAUAUCAGGAGGAACACCGAUGGCGAAGGCAGGUCACUGG
rnacentral:rRNA from 1 species